AUUGAACGCUGGCGGCAUGCUUUACACAUGCAAGUCGGGCGGCAGCGCGGGGGCAACCCUGGCGGCGAGCGGCGAACGGGUGAGUAACGCAUCGGAACGUAUCCUGUAGUGGGGAAUAACUCAUCGAAAGGUGAGCUAAUACCGCAUAAGCUCUGAGGAGGAAAGCGGGGGACCGAAAGGCCUCGCGCUGCAGGAGCGGCCGAUGUCCGAUUAGCUAGUUGGUGAGGUAAAGGCUCACCAAGGCGACGAUCGGUAGCUGGUCUGAGAGGAUGAUCAGCCACACUGGGACUGAGACACGGCCCAGACUCCUACGGGAGGCAGCAGUGGGGAAUAUUGGACAAUGGGCGAAAGCCUGAUCCAGCAAUGCCGCGUGAGUGAUGAAGGCCUUAGGGUUGUAAAGCUCUUUUACCCGGGAUGAUAAUGACAGUACCGGGAGAAUAAGCCCCGGCUAACUCCGUGCCAGCAGCCGCGGUAA
rnacentral:rRNA from 1 species